rnacentral:rRNA from 1 species
UACGAAGGGGGCUAGCGUUGUUCGGAUUUACUGGGCGUAAAGCGCGUGUAGGCGGGCUAUUAAGUUGGGGGUGAAAUCCCGGAGCUCAACUCCGGAACUGCCUCCAAAACUGGUAGCCUGGAGCAGAUGAGAGGCGAGUGGAAUUCCGAGUGUAGAGGUGAAAUUCGUAGAUAUUCGGAGGAACACCAGUGGCGAAGGCGACUCGCUGGCAUCUUGCUGACGCUGAGACGCGAAAGCGUGGGGAGCAAACAGG